UGGGGAAUUUUGGACAAUGGGCGAAAGCCUGAUCCAGCAAUGCCGCGUGUGUGAAGAAGGCCUUCGGGUUGUAAAGCACUUUUGUCCGGAAAGAAAUCCUUGGCUCUAAUACAGUCGGGGGAUGACGGUACCGGAAGAAUAAGCACCGGCUAACUACGUGCCAGCAGCCGCGGUAAUACGUAGGGUGCAAGCGUUAAUCGGAAUUACUGGGCGUAAAGCGUGCGCAGGCGGUUUGCUAAGACCGAUGUGAAAUCCCCGGGCUCAACCUGGGAACUGCAUUGGUGACUGGCAGGCUAGAGUAUGGCAGAGGGGGGUAGAAUUCCACGUGUAGCAGUGAAAUGCGUAGAGAUGUGGAGGAAUACCGAUGGCGAAGGCAGCCCCCUGGGCCAAUACUGACGCUCAUGCACGAAAGCGUGGGGAGCAAACAGGAUUAGAUACCCUGGUAGUCCCCGCCCUAAACGAUGUCAACUAGUUGUUGGGGAUUCAUUUCCUUAGUAACGUAGCUAACGCGUGAAGUUGACCGCCUGGGGAGUACGGUCGCAAGAUUAAAACUUAAAUGAAUUGACGGGGUCAUAGCUGUUUCCU
rnacentral:rRNA from 1 species